GCCCGCUCAGAAACUCAAAGGAAUUGACGGGGGCCCGCACAAGCGGUGGAGCAUGUGGUUUAAUUCGAUGAUACGCGAGGAACCUUACCUGGGCUCAAAUGUAUGUUGACGUAUUCUGAAAGGGAUACUUCUUCGGACAAUAUACAAGGUGCUGCAUGGUUGUCGUCAGCUCGUGCCGUGAGGUGUCGGGUUAAGUCCCAUAACGAGCGCAACCCCUAUCAUUAGUUGCCAUCAGGUCAAGCUGGGGACUCUAAUGAAACUGCCUACGCAAGUAGUGAGGAAGGCGGGGAUGACGUCAAAUCAGCACGGCCCUUACGUCCAGGGCUACACACGUGCUACAAUGGCCGAUACAGAGGGCAGCUACCUGGUGACAGGAUGCAAAUCUCCAAAGUCGGUCUCAGUUCGGAUCGGAGUCUGCAACCCGACUCCGUGAAGUUGGAUUCGCUAGUAAUCGCGCAUCAGCCAUGGCGCGGUGAAUACGUUCCCGGGCCUU
rnacentral:rRNA from 1 species